rnacentral:lncRNA from 1 species
GUUCAAAUUCAUCCUUCUUCACCCACAACCACUGUUUCACCCUAAAUCGUUGGUUUAUGUACCAAAGAAACAACAAGUACAGUUGAAGAAAGCUUUGAAUCUUCCGGUGGAUUUAUCGAGUUCGUAGCCGUUGACGACGAUUGGAAGAAUGAUCUCUGGGAAUCUGUGUGCAAUUAACAGGAUUCUUGAUCAAUGAAUUAAUGCUACAUCCACAUGGUUGGUCAACGUCCUUUAGGCGUAUGGCUUGACCGAAACAACAAGCGGAGUCUCACGAAUUGCAGGUUCUUAUGAGAGCAUGAUAGUAGGCCUUGUUGGGCGGCUCAUAGCCAAUUGUGAAGAAAUGAUAGUUGCCCAAACUAUGAAGCAAAGAUAGAUGACCCAAACACGAGGCCGGGUUACCUCCUAUGAACCAUGGUGAACUAUGAGUUAGAGGCCCAUUCGUUGCGAAAGGUAAACGUUAUGUUUUCAUCAAGUCAAACCACAACUUUUCAUUGUAAAGUAUGUGUAGAUUAAUUUAAAAUGAUCACCGGUUUUCUUAUGCCAACAUGAUGUAUAUUAAAACUAAUAAUUUCAACAAUGUUAACUAUUAAAUUAGUAACUUAUGUUAUGAUUGAUGUCUGUUGGAUCAGUCGGAUAAAUUAGAAAAACUUUGCUAAAAGUGAAACGUAAUGGGUUGGGUCGAAAGUUGCUAAAGAGUGUUUUCAACACAUCAAUCUUUUGAAUCAGUUUAUUUAAAAAAAAACAAAAAAACUCGAUAGUUAAUUUAAAAUUUUAUUUUUCUGUAAUGCUUAUUUAUAUACAAAAAGAUGCAAAAAUGGGACAAAAGUGUUCUGAGGUCAACACUAUGCGCCCUGGAAAAUAAAUGGUUGACCUGACUUUUUUAUUUUUGCGAUCAUAGAGAAGUUUAGAUACAAUGUUGAUCGAAUGGAUGGCUAAUAAGUGGUAAUCUUUGUUACAUUGAGAAUAUAGGAUUCUUAUUCUUUAUGAAUCAGUUAAAAGAGUUGAUCAAGUAUAAAGGUUACUAGGUAUGUUUUAUGCAUUCAAAGAUUUAUAGCUAAUACUAAUAAACUACAGUAUUACUUAACCUAAGAUAGUUGUAAAACCAUGGUAACCUUAGCGUAUGCAGGUUCUUGAAAGAAACUUAGUAACAUUCCCUAAUGUUGUUAAUUCCAUGUUAGCAAAUGACCUAUUCAGCCACCUUGAUCGGCCUCGUAUUGCUCAACUUUUGUUUUGAAUUUUGAAUUUAUAAUUUAUCAUUUCCAUGAAACUUCUCUCUUUUAUCUUGUAAAGCUUUAUCACUUGCAUGACCCGAACUAUUGCUUUUACCUGUAGCACUAUUGUGAAUUGUUGGAUAUCAAACAUGUUAAUGUGAAUACUCAAGCAACCGAGCCACAAUUUCUUUUAUGUUCUAUAAUUGGGAGCAGCUGGGUGGUGAAGCUUGCAUUAAGCUAUCUGAGCAAUUCAUAUCCCAUGAAGGUUUUUAGUUCUUUUUGUUUUUAGAUAAAGAGACUGUAAAUUUUAAACUUUAACGCACUUUAUGUUAAAGUUUACAAUAUGUAUAACAUAUGAAAAUCAAAAGUCCCUAACAAUAAUAAUAAAUAUCGACUACUUAUU